rnacentral:sRNA from 1 species
CCCUAGCCCCGAUAGCAGCGGAAAUCCUUUUGCUUUUUUCUUUAAAAAGCAAAAGAUUGGAGCGGAUAGCGGGGAAUAGC